UGGGGACAGGAGUGGUAACUGCCAAGUACUUCCCAUACUAGAUCUGGAACUGGAUCUCACCUUUCAUUUUAGGUGUUGUCUAUCCCUCUUCUAGACUGUGAAUCCUUAUCAUUAUCCAAGACUCCAGGAGAAGACCAUGAGUGCUGGGAUAGAAGAGGGACUGAGGUAAUAACACAUCCAUGGGGACUGAAACUUUUAAAGCAGAAUUUGCAGGAGCUUCAGUUACACCAGGAUGAUUGAGAAGAGCCAAAGAGACGGUGCCAUCAUGGUGACAAAGAUUUUACCUCCUAAAUUUUGCUUCUUGAGCUAGAAGUGAUAAGUUUCAAUAAAUCACAGAGAUCGUGAGUUACAAACCAUAUUGACACAGUUGCCAUAUGUACCCUGGAUGCUUUUGCAGAUUAUUUUAGGAAAUUAUCUUAUUUAAACUUAAGACAUUUCAUUAAAUAUAGCCUUGACUGACA